AUUGAACGCUGGCGGCAGGCCUAACACAUGCAAGUCGAGCGGAUGAAGGGAGCUUGCUCCUGGAUUCAGCGGCGGACGGGUGAGUAAUUCCUAGGAAUCUGCCUUGUCGUUGGGGAUAACGUCCGGUAACGGGCGCUAAUAUCGCAUACGUUCUGAGGUAGAAAGUGGGGGAUCUUGGGACCUCACUCUAUUUGCUUAGCCUAGGUCUGAUUAGCUAGUUGGUUGGGUAAUGGCCUACCAAGGGGACGAACCGUAACUGGUCAGAUAGGAGGCUGAGUAACACGGGACCUGGAACACGGUCCAGACUCCUACGGGAGGCACAAGAGGGGAAUAUUGGACAUGGGGGGAAGGCUGAACGCAGCCAGGCCGGGUGGUUGAAGAAGUUUUUCGGAUGUUAAAGCACGUUAAGUGGGGAGGACGGGCAGUAAGUUAAUACCUUGAUGUUUUGACGGUACCAACAGAAUAAGCACCGGCUAACUUCGUG
rnacentral:rRNA from 1 species